rnacentral:rRNA from 1 species
GAUGAACGCUGGCGGCGUGCUUAACACAUGCAAGUCGAACGAAGAAGGUUAGAAUGAGAGCUUCGGCAGGAUUUCUUUCCAUCUUAGUGGCGGACGGGUGAGUAACGUGUGGGCAACCUGCCCUGUACUGGGGAAUAAUCAUUGGAAACGAUGACUAAUACCGCAUGUGGUCCUCGGAAGGCAUCUUCUGAGGAAGAAAGGAUUUAUUCGGUACAGGAUGGGCCCGCAUCUGAUUAGCUAGUUGGUGGGGUAAUGGCCUACCAAGGCGAUGAUCAGUAGCCGGUCUGAGAGGAUGAACGGCCACAUUGGGACUGAGACACGGCCCAG